UUGAACGCUGGCGGCAGGCCUAACACAUGCAAGUCGAGCGGAUGAAGGGAGCUUGCUCCUGGAUUCAGCGGCGGACGGGUGAGUAAUGCCUAGGAAUCUGCCUGGUAGUGGGGGAUAACGUCCGGAAACGGGCGCUAAUACCGCAUACGUCCUGAGGGAGAAAGUGGGGGAUCCUCGGACCUCACGCUAUCAGAUGAGCCUAGGUCGGAUUAGCUAGUUGGUGGGGUAAAGGCCUACCAAGGCGACGAUCCGUAACUGGUCUGAGAGGAUGAUCAGUCACACUGGAACUGAGACACGGUCCAGACUCCUACGGGAGGCAGCAGUGGGGAAUAUUGGACGAUGGGCGAAAGCCUGAUCCAGCCAUGCCGCGUGUGUGAAGAAGGUCUUCGGAUUGUAAAGCACUUUAAGUUGGGAGGAAGGGCAGUAAGUUAAUACCUUGCUGUUUUGACGUUACCAACAGAAUAAGCACCGGCUAACUUCGUG
rnacentral:rRNA from 1 species